GAAACUGCAGAUUUCUCCAGGGGCCUGAAACUGAUCGAGCGACAGUAAGAAGAAUAAGAGACGCUAUUGAUAAUCAAACGGAUGUGACUGUGCAGUUGAUAAAUUACACAAAAAGUGGGAAGAAGUUCUGGAAUUUGUUUCACCUGCAACCCAUGCGUGACCACAAGGGGGAGGUUCAAUAUUUCAUAGGGGUUCAGUUGGAUGGGAGCGAGCAUGUUGAGCCACUUCAGAAUUGUAUUCCUGAGGCUACCGCUAUAGAGAGUGCAAAACUGGUGAAAGAAACUGCAGAAAAUGUUAAUGAAGCUGUUAAAGAACUUCCUGAUGCUAAUUUGAAACCUGAGGAUCUAUGGAUGAAUCACGCCAAAGUAGUCCAUGCAAAGCCUCAUGGAAGGAAUAAUCCGUCGUGGAAAGCAAUCCAGAAAGUUUUAGAGAGCGGAGAGAAGAUAGGCCUGAAACACUUUAGGCCUGUCAAACCAUUGGGAUCUGGUGACACAGGCAGUGUGCACUUGGUGGAAUUACUAGGAACCGGAGAAUACUUUGCAAUGAAGUCCAUGGAUAAAAAUAUCAUGCUUAAUCGCAACAAGGUACAUAGAGCUUGUGCAGAAAGAGAGAUUCUUGAUUUAUUGGACCACCCUUUUCUUCCUACAUUAUAUGCAUCUUUUCAGACUAAAACACAUAUCUGUCUUAUAACCGAUUACUGCCCUGGUGGGGAGCUCUUUUUGCUUCUAGAUAGGCAACCUUUGAAGACCCUUAAGGAGGAUGCCGUGAGAUUUUAUGCUGCAGAAGUUGUAGUCGCACUUGAGUAUCUUCACUGUCAGGGUAUCAUCUACAGAGACCUAAAA
rnacentral:misc_RNA from 1 species